rnacentral:piRNA from 1 species
UAGAACUUUGCUACUUUCCAGAGUUUUCAGC